rnacentral:lncRNA from 1 species
AAAGACUUCGAAGUGGUAUCGUAAAUACUGAAGGUCCUCCAAUAAGAAAGGAAGGUCUGCCGCAUCGAUAUCAGUGUAUGGGUCGACUUCAAAGCCAAGGACUCAAGCUCCUCGUAUGUGCUGGAACCUAGCUUUCAACCCUGGGUUUGAAGUUUUUUGAAUAAUUCGCUCGGCAUCCAGGCAAGUUAGGAUGAGAUCAAUUGU